rnacentral:rRNA from 1 species
GAUCAUGGCUCAGAUUGAACGCUGGCGGCAGGCCUAACACAUGCAAGUCGAACGGUAACAGGAAGCAGCUUGCUGCUUUGCUGACGAGUGGCGGACGGGUGAGUAAUGUCUGGGAAACUGCCUGGAUGGAGGGGGAUAACUACUGGAAACGGUAGCUAAUACCGCAUAACGUCGCAAGACCAAAGAGGGGGGAACCUUCGGGCCUCUUGCCAUCGGAUGUGCCCAGAUGGGAUUAGCUAG